rnacentral:tRNA from 1 species
GGGCCUGUAGUUUAGAGGGAGAACACCGCGUUCGCAUCGCGGAGAUCGUGGGUUCGAAUCCCACCGGGUCCA